rnacentral:misc_RNA from 1 species
UCUCCGUUGGUGAACCAGCGGAGGGAUCAUUAUAGAGUUUUUAACUCCCAAACCCAUGUGAACCUACUAUUUUGUUGCCUCGGCGGGUUCGCCCGCCAGAGGACCUACCUAAAACCCUUUGCAAUACCUGCAGUACUGUCUGAUAGCGAAAGCAAUUUAAAUCAAAACUUUCAACAACGGAUCUCUUGGUUCUGGCAUCGAUGAAGAACGCAGC